GUCUCAGGCCGUAUCAGCCUGAAGGCGCCCGAUCUCGUCUGAUCUCGGAAGCUAAGCAGGGUCGGGCCUGGUUAGUACCUUGGAUGGGAGACCACCUGGGAAUCCCGGGUGCUCGAGGCU
ensembl:rRNA 5S_rRNA 5S ribosomal RNA